rnacentral:rRNA from 1 species
CACGUAGGAGGCGAGCGUUGUCCGGAAUCAUUGGGCGUAAAGAGCGCGCAGGCGGCUUGGCAAGUCGGGUGUGAAAUCCCGGGGCUCAACCCCGUGACUGCAUCCGAUACUGUCAGGCUAGAGUAGGUAGGGGAGAUCGGAAUUCCUGGUGUAGCGGUGAAAUGCGCAGAUAUCAGGAGGAACACCGGUGGCGAAGGCGGAUCUCUGGGCCUUACCUGACGCUCAGGCGCGAAAGCUAGGGGGAGCGAACAGG